CCUAUCCCCUCUCCAGUCCUCGGAACUGGGUCAAGGAUUCCAAGACAUAUGCAGUGAAAGCCCUUUGGAACCUUAGAAUACGGGCAGGGCCGGACACUACUGUUGGUGGCUGCUUUUGGGUUGGUGCUUCAAGGGCCUUGUGCCAACACUCUACGCAACUUCACCCGGGCCAGCGAGGCUGUAGCCUGUGGGGCAGAGCUGGCCCUGAACCAGACCGCCGAAGUGCUACAGAGGGCCAAGCAACCUCUUGUCAGUGCCCUGAACAAGAUUAAAGCUAUUGCCCGGAAGACCAAAGAGGUGGCUGACCGGGUCCGCAAGUUCUUUCGGUCAAUCAUGGAUGGUGUGAAACACAUAGGGCUCUCCGGAAUGUGUGGCAGUGGCUCCUGCACAUCGGCGAUGUGUGCAACUCGGAACUGGGCAACCCUUACCUGAAGUGUGCACGGGUUUUCGAUGAUGCCAAGGACAGCUGCAUGAUGGUCAUACCACAAGC
rnacentral:lncRNA from 1 species